UCCCGCCUCGUCUAAUGGCAGGACACCGCCCUUUGAAGGCGGGAAUCGUGGCUCGAGCCCAUGAGCGCGAACCA
rnacentral:tRNA from 1 species